rnacentral:rRNA from 1 species
CACGUAGGGCGCAAGCGUUGUCCGGAAUUAUUGGGCGUAAAGAGCUCGUAGGCGGUCUGUUGCGUCCGCUGUGAAACUCGGGGCUUAACCCCGAGCCUGCAGUGGAUACGGGCAGACUAGAGGUAGGUAGGGGAGAAUGGAAUUCCCGGUGUAGCGGUGAAAUGCGCAGAUAUCGGGAAGAACACCCGUGGCGAAGGCGGUUCUCUGGGACGGUACUGACGCUGAGACGCGAAAGCGUGGGGAGCGAACAGG